CAGGACGAACGCUGGCGGCGUGCUUAACACAUGCAAGUCGAACGGAAAGGCCCUUCGGGGUACUCGAGUGGCGAACGGGUGAGUAACACGUGGGUGAUCUGCCCUGCACUUUGGGAUAAGCCUGGGAAACUGGGUCUAAUACCGAAUAGGACCACGCGCUUCAUGGUGUGUGGUGGAAAGCUUUUGCGGUGUGGGAUGGGCCCGCGGCCUAUCAGCUUGUUGGUGGGGUAAUGGCCUACCAAGGCGACGACGGGUAGCCGGCCUGAGAGGGUGACCGGCCACACUGGGACUGAGAUACGGCCCAGACUCCUACGGGAGGCAGCAGUGGGGAAUAUUGCACAAUGGGCGCAAGCCUGAUGCAGCGACGCCGCGUGAGGGAUGACGGCCUUCGGGUUGUAAACCUCUUUCAAUAGGGACGAAGCGUGAGUGACGGUACCUAUAGAAGAAGCACCGGCCAACUACGUG
rnacentral:rRNA from 1 species